UGAUGAUGGUGAGGAAAAUUUAUGAGCAUACCCUUAAACCUUUCCUAAGAUUGGUAAAGAUUUUCUCCUUCUUUCUAUCUAAAACUUAGAAUCUUGCUUCUCAAACG
rfam:Capsicum annuum cultivar Zunla-1 chromosome 11, whole genome shotgun sequence